rnacentral:rRNA from 1 species
GAUGAACGCUGGCGGCGUGCCUAACACAUGCAAGUCGAGCGUGAUUUAUGAGGACGAAACUUCGGUCUAGGAAUCAUAAUGAAAGCGGCGGACGGGUGAGUAACGCGUAGGCAACCUGCCCUUAACACAGGGAUAGCCUCGGGAAACCGGGAUUAAAACCUGAUGAUGCCAAAGCGUCACAUGGCUCGUUGGCCAAAGAUUUAUCGGUUAAGGAUGGGCCUGCGUCUGAUUAGUUUGUUGGUGAGGUAACGGCCCACCAAGGCAUCGAUCGGUAGCUGGUCUGAGAGGAUGAUCAGCCAGACUGGGACUGUGACACGGCCCAGACUCCUACGGGAGGCAGCAGUUAGGAAUCUUGGGCAAUGGGCGAAAGCCUGACCCAGCAACGCCGCGUGGGUGAUGAAGGCCUUCGGGUCGUAAAGCCCUUUUACACGGGAAGAUAAUGGCGGUACCGUGUGAAUAAGCCCCGGCUAACUACGUGCCAGCCGCCGCAGUAA